GCCAACGACCAUACCAUGUUAAAACCACCAGUUCUCGUCCGAUCACUGAAGUUAAAUAGCAUUGGGCGCGGUUAGUACUUGGAUGGGUGACCGCCUGGGAACACCGCGUGCCGUUGGCU
rnacentral:rRNA from 1 species